rnacentral:rRNA from 1 species
GAUGAACGCUGGCGGCGUGCCUAGUACAUGCAAGUCGAACGCUGGAGCUCUAGCUUGCUAGAUCGAAGGAGUGGCGAACGGGUGAGUAAUACAUAAGCAACCUACCCACGAAGACUGGGAUAAUCUCUGGAAACGGGGACUAAUACCGGAUAGGUAAUCGGAAGGCAUCUUCUGGUUAUUAAAGGUUAAAAACACUGGUGGAUGGGCUUAUGGCGCAUUAGUUAGUUGGUGAGGUAACGGCCCACCAAGACGAUGAUGCGUAGCCGGCCUGAGAGGGUGAACGGCCACAUUGGGACUGAGACACGGCCCAGACUCCUACGGGAGGCAGCAGUAGGGAAUUUUCGGCAAUGGGGGCAACCCUGACCGAGCAACGCCGCGUGAGUGAAGACGGCCUUCGGGUUGUAAAGCUCUGUUGUAAGGGAAGAACGGUAGAUAGAGAAUAUCUAAGUGACGGUACCUUACCAGAAAGCCACGGCUAACUACGU